rnacentral:rRNA from 1 species
GGAGUUUGGUCCGUGUCUCAGUACCAAUGUGGGGGACCUUCCUCUCAGAACCCCUACUGAUCGUUGCCCCGGUGGGCCGUUACCCCGCCGGCAACCUAAUCAGACGCAUCCCCAUCCCUUAGCGGUAAACCUUUGCUUCACGUCGGAUGCCGUCUGUGAAGAACAUAGGGUAUUAAUCCGCAUUUCUACGGGCUAUGCCCUACUAAGGGGAAGGUUGGAUACGCGUUACUCACCCGUGCGCCGGUCGCCAUCAAAGGAAGCAAGCUUCCUUCAUGCUGCCCCUCGACUUGCAUGUGUUAAGCCUGUAGCUAGCGUUCAUC